rnacentral:rRNA from 1 species
UACGGAGGGUGCAAGCGUUGUCCGGAUUUAUUGGGUUUAAAGGGUGCGUAGGCGGUUCUUUUAAGUCUGGGGUGAAAGCCCGUUGCUCAACAACGGAACUGCCCUGGAAGCUGGAGGACUUGAGUACAGACGAGGGUGGCGGAAUGGAUGCUGUAGCGGUGAAAUGCAUAGAUAGCAUCCAGAACCCCCGAUUGCGAAGCAGCUGCCUAGACUGUAACGUGACGUGAGGCACGAAAGCGUGGGGAGCGAACAGG